ensembl:snRNA U6 U6 spliceosomal RNA
UUGCUUAACAGCACAUAGACUCAAAUUGGAACAGUACAGAGAAGAUUAGCAUGGCCCCUGCACAAGGAUAACAUGCAAAUUUUUUCCAUAUUUUU